AACGUAGGAGACAAACGUUAUCCGGAGUUACUGGGCGUAAAGGGCGUGUAGGUGGUUUUGUAAGUCUGGCGUGAAAUUUUUCGGCUUAACCGGGAAAGGUCGUCGGAUACUGCAAGGCUAGAGGACGGUAGAGGCGUGUGGAAUUCCGGGUGUAGCGGUGGAAUGCGUAGAGAUCCGGAAGAACACCGGUGGCGAAGGCGGCAUCCUGGACUGGUCCUGACACUCAGGAGCGAAAGCGUGGGGAGCGAUCCGG
rnacentral:rRNA from 1 species